rnacentral:piRNA from 1 species
CCAGAGAUUGGAUUCUUGGUCUGUGUGCUUA